GAUGAACGCUGGCGGCGUGCUUAACACAUGCAAGUCGAACGGGGCUCUUCGGAGUCAAGUGGCGGACGGGUGAGUAACGCGUGAGAAUCUGCCCACAGGCGGGGGACAACCAUUGGAAACGAUGGCUAAUACCGCAUAUGCCGAGAGGUGAAAGGUUAACUACCUGUGGAUGAGCUCGCGUCUGAUUAGCUAGUUGGUGGGUUGAUAGCUUACCAAGGCGACGAUCAGUAGCUGUUCUGAGAGGAUGAUCAGCCACACUGGGACUGAGACACGGCCCAGACUCCUACGGGAGGCAGCAGUGGGGAAUUUUCCGCAAUGGGCGAAAGCCUGACGGAGCAACGCCGCGUGAGGGAGGAAAGUCUUUGGAUUGUAAACCUCUUUUCUCUAGGAAGAUAAUGACGGUACUAGAGGAAUCAGCAUCGGCUAACUCCG
rnacentral:rRNA from 1 species